rnacentral:rRNA from 1 species
AGUAGGGCGGGACACGUGGUAUCCUGUCUGAAUAUGGGGGGACCAUCCUCCAAGGCUAAAUACUACCUAACGACCGAUAGUGAACCAGUACCGUGAGGGAAAGGCGAAAAGAACCCCUGUAAGGGGAGUGAAAUAGAAUCUGAAACCGUGUGCAUACAAGCAGUGGGAGCUCGAAAGAGUGACUGCGUACCUUUUGUAUAAUGGGUCAGCGAGUUAUCUGUAUUAGCAAGGUUAACUUCAAUGAGGGAGCCGUAGGGAAACCGAGUCUUAAAAGGGCGAGAAGUUGAUGCAGGUAGACCCGAAACCGAGUGAUCUAGUCCUGGACAGGCUGAAAGCAGGGUAACACCUGCCGGAGGGCCGAACCUACUGUCGUUGCAAAGCCAGAGGAUGAUCUGGGACUAGGGGUGAAAGGCCAAUCAAACCCGGUGAUAGCUGGUUCUCCCCGAAAGCUAUUUAGGUAGCGUCCUGCAGGGGCGUAUGGGGGUAGAGCACUGUUAUAGGAAGGGGUUCAUUGCGAACUACCGACCUAUUGCAAACUACGAAUACCAUACAGUUGUAAGCAGGGGACACACAGUGGGUGCUAACGUUCAUUGUGAAGAGGGAAACAACCCGGACCGCCAGCUAAGGUCCCAAAGUUCUGAUUAAGUGGGAAACGAUGUGGGAAGGCAUAGACAGCCAGGAUGUUGGCUUAGAAGCAGCCAUCAUUAAAAGAAAGCGUAAUAGCUCACUGGUCGAGUCGGCCUGCGCGGAAGAUGUAACGGGGCUCAAAUCAGACACCGAAGCUGCGGAUUUGUAAGUAAUUACAAGUGGUAGGGGAGCGUUGUGUAAGCCUGUGAAGGUGAACUGGGAAGUUCACUGGAGGUAUCACAAGUGCGAAUGCUGACGCAAGUAACGAUAAAACGAGUUAAAUGCUCGUUCGCCGGAAGACCAAGGUUUCCUGUCCAACGUUAAACGGGGCAGGGUUAGUCGGAGCCUAAGGCGAGGAUGAAAAUCGUAGUCGAAGGGAAACGGGUUAAUAUUCCCGUACCUAGAUAUGUUGCGAUGUGGUGACGGAGAAGGGAGUGUUAGCCUACAGAUGGUGAUAGGUGAAAGGCGGUAGGUAGUACGAUGGGUUAAAAGACGUUGUGCAGUAAUCCGAGAGCCGAGACGAAGUACUUACGGGUAUGAAGUAACAUGAACCAUGCUUCCAGGAAAAGCCACUAAGCUUCAGACAUAUUUAGUCCGUACCCCAAACCGACACAGGUGGUCGGGUAGAGAAUACCAAGGCGCUUGGGAGAACUCGGGUGAAGGAACUAGGCAAAAUUGUACCGUAACUUCGGGAGAAGGUACGCUGUGAGAGGUGAAGAGCUUGCGCUUGGAGCCUAACACAGCCGCAGAUAAAUGGUGGCUGGGACUGUUUAACAAAAACACAGCACUCUGCAAACCUGAAAGGGGAAGUAUAGGGUGUGACACCUGCCCGGUGCCGGAAGGUUAAAUGAUGAGGUUAGAGCAAUCGAAGCCUCUGAGUGAAGCCCCGGUAAACGGCGGCCGUAACUAUAACGGUCCUAAGGUAGCGAAAUUCCUUGUCGGGCAAGUUCCGACCUGCACGAAUGGUGUAACCAUGGCCACGCUGUCUCCACCCGAGACCCAGUGAAACCGAAAUCGCUGUGAAGAUGCAGUGUACCCGCGGCUAGACGGAAAGACCCCGUGAACCUUUACUGCAGCUUGACACUGAACCUUGAACCUGUUUGUGCAGGAUAGGCGGGAGACUUAGAAGUAGGGACGCUAGUUCCUAUGGAGUCGACCUUGAAAUACCGCCCUGACAUGUUUGAGGUUCUAACUUGAGGCAAUCAAGCCUAAGGACAGUGUCUGGUGGGAAGUUUGACUGGGGCGGUCUCCUCCCAAAGAGUAACGGAGGAGCACGAAGGUCGGCUGAUCACGGUCGGAAACCGUGAGGUCAGUGCAAUGGCAUAAGCCGGCUUGACUGCGAGAGCAACAACUCGAGCAGGUGCGAAAGCAGGUCAUAGUGAUCCGGUGGUUCCAUAUGGACGGGCCAUCGCUCAACGGAUAAAAGGUACUCUGGGGAUAACAGGCUGAUACCGCCCAAGAGUUCAUAUCGACGGCGGUGUUUGGCACCUCGAUGUCGGCUCAUCACAUCCUGGGGCUG